GAUGAACGCUAGCGGCAGGCUUAACACAUGCAAGUCGAGGGGCAACACGGGUAGCAAUACCUGGUGGCGACCGGCGCAAGGGUGCGUAACGCGUGAGCAACAUGCCCUAUACAGGGGGAUAAUCCAGGGAAACUUGGUCUAAUAUCCCAUAGUAUUUAGAGGUGGCAUCACCACUAAAUUAAAGCUUCGGUGGUAUAGGAUUGGCUCGCGUGACAUUAGCUGGAUGGUGGGGUAACGGCUCACCAUGGCGAUGAUGUCUAGGGGUUCUGAGAGGAAGACCCCCCACACUGGGACUGAGACACGGCCCAGACUCCUACGGGAGGCAGCAGUGAGGAAUAUUGGACAAUGGAUGGAAAUCUGAUCCAGCCAUGCCGCGUGCAGGAAGACGGCCCUAUGGGUUGUAAACUGCUUUUAUAUGGGAGCAAUAAGAUCUACGUGUAGAUUGAUGAGAGUACCAUACGAAUAAGCACCGGCUAA
rnacentral:rRNA from 1 species